GGGUCGUUAGCUCAGUUGGUAGAGCAGUGGACUCUUAAUCCAUUGGUCGAAGGUUCAAGUCCUUCACGGCCCACCA
rnacentral:tRNA from 3 species